rnacentral:tRNA from 1 species
GGAGAGGUGUCCGAGUGGUUUAAGGAGCCGCUCUCGAAAAGCGGUGCGGUCUUUCAUAGGCUGCCGCGAGUUCGAAUCUCGCCCUCUCCGCCA